CUGCCGCUGGCGGAGUAUCGAUCCCCGUGGUUAAGUGAGUGCGUGGGUGCGGGAGUAUGCAUUCAUGCGAUGUCAGGCUGGCAGCAGAGGAUGGCUUCGGGCAAUAGACGAGAAUUCAUCAGUGAGGACACGGUCUUGCCAGAUGAGUCCACCGUACAUCAGCUCGUAAAGGAUUCAUUCUGUCGGACGGGCGUACUUCAUACUUCGUUUCGUACAUGGGUGUACGACAGGGUGUUACCAAGUGCACAGCUCGAAAUGUGCGCGUUGGGGCGGUUCGAAGCACAGGGGAGGGUUUCGGUAGAUAGCUAGGCGAAGCGGAGCGCGCGAGGACCCCAGCGGCGGCUGCCUUUGUCCGGAACAACAUAUACGUUUCUGCGGCUAAGGGAGCGAUGACCCCCAACCCUUAUCGCGAGAUCCCUUAACACAUGCUUCUCCGCAGUUCAUGGUCCCAGAACAAUCUUUCCUUUUCCUUUCGUUCUUCUUUUUUUCCUUAUGUAAGCGUAUGCGUAUGCAUGUAUGUAUGUGUGUAUGUCUGCGUGUUAUGAUGUAUGAUGGGUUAUUACAGUGGACUCGUGAACAGAUCGCCGGCGGUGCUGUGUCUGUUAUGCCCAUAUUUCCAAUAUCGUUCGGUGGGGGGGAGAGUAGGUGUGGCAAGGCUUGCAAAAGCAAGGACGUAGUAAGGUACAUGUAUGUUGUUGACGGGGGGUGUUACACUGUGGGCUUCUCACCCCGAGAAAGGACGAGCACCGGGGGCCCUGACCGGGGCCGAAACACAGCCACACAUGCUGUUAUUGUUAUUGUUGUUGUUGUUAUUGUUGUUGUUGUUGUUGCUGCUGUUACAGAGUGGAGGCUUCUGGGCCGAUUGAACACAUUUGUAUUGACAACAUAGGAUUGAACACCGUGCAACACCAUCUACCAUUACCACACUGCACUACGCCAUACAAACUGCAAGUCCAAGGCGGUUGAUUCUGCCUUCGCGCAACCAUUGCCCCCCGGAGAUCCCGGGAUCGAGACCUGUCAGGGCGGAGGGUAUAGCGCCCCUAGUUGAUGGACGGUGGUGACCUGGUAUAAAUUUAACCUACGAGCCGACCAGUAUUAGUGUUGGGCUGCUGUCGACCCGGCAGAUUCCGUUGGAUGCUGGUGGUGAGUGCGGAACCUGAGCGAUCCACUGAGAAGUUGACUAGGGUGACUGGAUGAGGGUGCCCCGAAAUACCGUGGAAGGCAGGGUUUCGCAGGGUAGCUGCCACGGGUGAAGAUAUAACCCCCCUGUUUCACACAUCAUGGGAGGAAUAUAUUCAAGGAAAUGCUUUGAACAGACCUGUAAGGAUAAUUUCUUCCUUUUUUGGCGUAGAUAUUAUGAAUCUUAAGGUCCAAGAUUAGGCAUGAAGAUACCUAUUAUACUAAUCCUAAUGGCUGGCAAAAAUCGCUGAUCAAAAUUGAGAGAAAUGAGAGAAAAGCCAGAAAACUUGAGGGAAUUCCAGUUAGAGCAUGAUUAAUCCUAGCAAAAGUAAGACUAUAUCAUUAAUUUGUGCAGGUAAAACUGUAGGUUUUCUGAGUUAUAUGGGAGAAAGCCAAGGUUUCUGUGUAUUUGCCGAGAGCGUACUGGGUUGGAUGCCGUUGGUGCGUACGGCUGGACCGUACAAGGCUAGAGUAAGCCCCAGGAGUGCAAAUUUAAUAUAACCAUUUGCAUGUAGGAAAUGUUUCUUGCCAACGCAGCAUGCAUGCAGGCAGGCAGAGGCAAAGGCAGGCUUAGCAGGCAGGCAGGCUGGCAUCAACCCCAGGGCGGGAGAAGCGGGGCCGCCCGCACAAGGUGAUGUAUGGUACGACAAGUAACGGGAUACGAAAACAGGUGCAAAAGGCUGCCAAUGUUUAAGUUUGCAAUGACGGAUGGUCUAGCCUUGCCAGGAUGAUUUUGUGAUAAGCGACGAGAGGAUGUAAUGUUGGAGUUACGGGCAACGCGAGGCAAGAGGGGGGGACCUGCGCGCGUCGCGUGACGCACUGUCAAGGUGGUGGUGGUAGUAAUGAUGGUGGUAGUAGUAAUAGUGGUGGUAGUAAUGGUUGUGGCGGUGGGUUGCGAGUACUGCGUAGCGGUGCAUGAGGUAAGAGGAUGCUCUAGUCGUCUAGCAGGGAGGAGCAGCAGCGGCAGCCAUACCAUACGUAGACCGACUGAGGCCGCCGUGCAAUAGUAGGGUGCGUAUAGUAGGGUGCGUAUUAUUGGAUCAAAAGGUGCAGAAGAACGAAAUGGAUUCAUGUGCAGUUCAGUUCAUUCAGCCUCAGCUUGGGGAGAUUCGAAGCUGCUUACGCGAGCAUGCAGUCUUGGCGCAGGAAGCCGGUUAAGAACAUCGCCAGAACAUCGCCAGAACAUCGCCCGUUAAGAAACUUCGCCAUAACUCGUUAUCAUAGCUCAAUUUCUACAUAAUGUCGAAUGUCAUGAUGCAGGAUAUGAAAAAAUGCGACCCGUAUUACUGCAUCCGUAUUACAGCACUAUGUUCAACAAUUGUAGCUCCGAACAACGACAUGUGUGUGUGUGGUUGUUACAGUGGGCUCCAGACUCACUAAGAGUAGAGCCAUCGGGCCAGCUGGCCGUGCACUGCACUAGAGACUAAUAUACAAUUUAGACAACAACCACCCAGAUGAGACAAGUAAACGCAAUGUUGGGGCUUACGCCCCUGCCUGACCAGUUAACAUCCUGUACG
rnacentral:lncRNA from 1 species